rnacentral:tRNA from 1 species
UAGCUCAGUGGUAGAGUGCUUGCCUUGAAUGCAUGAGGCCCUGGGUUCGAUUCCUCAG